ACCUUCCCGGUGGAGAACCCCACCGAACCCCACGAUCCAGACUCCUCUGCCUGCAUACCCGGGGUGGAGUAUGGGCACGCUUGUGCCCAGGAGGGGAUUGAGAAUGCGGCCGAGCUUCUCUCGGCCUUUUUUCAACUGCGGGCUUACUCGAGUCUCCCGCCUGCCACUCUCUCGCGGUCUCCUCAUCCUUCAUUUUGAAGGCUUCUUCCGCUCGGACGUACCCUUCAGCUCGAGCCAACAAAUCAGCAAAAUCCCUGGGGUACUUCUUCUCCAGGGAGAACAAAAGGUCAUUCUUCUAAAGGCCACCCUUCAGAGUGGCCAUUGCGACUGAUUGGUCCAAGUUCCGAACCUCCAGCGCCGCGACAUUGAAAUGGUUGAUGUAGGCCCGAAUGGACUCCCCUUCCCUCUACUUGAUAUUGAUGAGGGACUCCGAACCCUUCCGGAGGCGUCGGCUGCUGACAAAAUGGGCCACGAAUUGGUGGCUCAUCUGAUCGAAGGAAAAGAUGGUACCCGACUUCAGGGCCGAGUACCAGUUUCUCGCCGCUCCCUUCAAGGUGGAUGGGAAGGCUCGGCAUAGAAUGGCGUCGGGAGCGCC
rnacentral:lncRNA from 1 species